GAUGAACGCUAGCGGGAGGCCUAAUACAUGCAAGUCGAACGGGUGAAUUAGCUUCGGUUGGUUUCACUAGUAGGCGCACGGGUGAGUAACGCGUACGCAAUCUGCCCUAUGCUGGGGAAUAGCCCUGGGAAACCUGGGAGUAAUACGCCAUAGAUCUGUGGAUUCGCAUGGAUUUACAGAUAAAGCUGCGGCGGCAUAGGAUGAGCGUGCGUCUGAUUAGGUAGUUGGUGAGGUAACGGCUCGACCAAGCCGACGAUCAGUAAGGGGCGUGAGAGCGUGGCCCCUCACACGGGUACUGGAGUACACGGACCCGACUCCUACGGGAGGCAGCAGUAAGGAAUAUUGGAC
rnacentral:rRNA from 1 species